rnacentral:rRNA from 1 species
AUUGAACGCUGGCGGCAGGCUUAACACAUGCAAGUCGAGCGGGGAAGGGUAGCUUGCUACCUAACCUAGCGGCGGACGGGUGAGUAAUGCUUAGGAAUCUGCCUAUUAGUGGGGGACAACAUUCCGAAAGGAAUGCUAAUACCGCAUACGCCCUACGGGGGAAAGCAGGGGAUCUUCGGACCUUGCGCUAAUAGAUGAGCCUAAGUCAGAUUAGCUAGUUGGUGGGGUAAAGGCCUACCAAGGCGACGAUCUGUAGCGGGUCUGAGAGGAUGAGCCGCCACACUGGGACUGAGACACGGCCCAGACUCCUACGGGAGGCAGCAGUGGGGAAUAUUGGACAAUGGGCGAAAGCCUGAUCCAGCCAUGCCGCGUGUGUGAAGAAGGCCUUUUGGUUGUAAAGCACUUUAAGCGAGGAGGAGGCUACCGAGAUUAAUACUCUUGGGUAGUGGACGUUACUCGCAGAAUAAGCACCGGCUAACUCUGUGCCAGCAGCCGCAGUAACAC